UACGUAGGGGGCGAGCGUUGUCCGGAUUUAUUGGGCGUAAAGAGCGUGUAGGCGGCCAGGUAGGUCAGCUGUGAAAACUCGAGGCUCAACCUCGAGAUGUCGGCUGAAACCAUCUGGCUAGAGUCCGGAAGAGGAGAAUGGAAUUCCCGGUGUAGCGGUGAAAUGCGCAGAUAUCGGGAAGAACACCCGUGGCUAAGGCGGUUCUCUAGUACGGUACUGACGCUGAGACGCGAAGGCGUGGGGAGCGAACAGG
rnacentral:rRNA from 1 species